AGCGGCGUACGGGUGCGGAACACGUGUGCAACCUGCCUUUAUCUGGGGGAUAGCCUUUCGAAAGGAAGAUUAAUACCCCAUAAUAUGUUGAAUGGCAUCAUUCGACAUUGAAAACUCCGGUGGAUAGAGAUGGGCACGCGCAAGAUUAGAUAGUUGGUGAGGUAACGGCUCACCAAGUCUACGAUCUUUAGGGGGGCCUGAGAGGGUGAUCCCCCACACUGGUACUGAGGGCACGGACCAAGACUCCUACGGGAGGCAGCAGUGAGGAAUAUUGGACAAUGGGUGAGAGCCUGAUCCAGCCAUCCCGCGUGAAGGACGACUGCCCUAUGGGUUGUAAACUUCUUUGGUAUAGGGAUAAACCUACCCUCGUGAGGGUAGCUGAAGGGGGGGGGUUUUAACCUUAAUUACGAAUAAGCACCGGCUAACUCCGUGCCAGCAGCCGCGGUAAUACGGAGGGUGCAAGCGUUAUCCGGAUUUAUUGGGUUUUUAAAGGGUCCGUAGGCGGAUCCUGGUAAAGUCAGUGGUGAAAUCUCACAGCUUAACUGUUUGGAAAAACUUGGGCCAUUUGGGGAAUUUAACCUUUGGGGCAAAGGGGGGUUC
rnacentral:rRNA from 1 species